rnacentral:lncRNA from 1 species
AUGGACUUGAGCCCGCUUGCAAUUGGCCAGAUUUUGUAUAUAAGCUGUGUGCUGAGGAAGGAGGGGGCUUUCCUGUCCACUCUCCUCCCUUCAUUCUUUCUCUGUCACUGUUAUUUUCUCAUUAAAAGUCUACUGAAGACCGAUAAGCUGCGAACAGUGUCGUUUCUUUGCGGGCAAGGGAGCGACAAGUGGUUCCAUGACUCGGAUUCGGACCACUUUCUACACGCAGGAAUAGGGAUUCUUCUGCUGCCUACAUGGCUAUGAAUUUCAGGAAAUUGGAAUUGGAGGCAAAGCCAGGACUUGAACCUAGAUAGGUUAAGCCUACAGCCUCCACCUGCAAGGCCUGAGUCCCACAUGUGCACCAGUUCAUAUCUCAGCUGCUCCACUUCUGAUCCAGCUCCCUGAUAAUAUAAUAGCCUGGGCAAAGCAACAGAAGAUGGUCCAAGUUCGGGCCUCUACCACCCACGUGGGAGAAGUUACUGCCUCCUGGCUUCAGCCUGCCCAAGCCCAACUUUUGCAGCGCUUUGGUGAGUGAACCAGCAGAUGGAAAAUUGCUAUUUCUCUGUCUCUUCCUCUUUCUGUGCAUCUUUUUCAAAAAAGUCAUAAAUCUUAAAAGUUCUUCCAUGGCCCGUGCUUUGGUAUUCUAUCUAAAAAGUCUUUACCACUUCUAAAAUCAUUGAGAUUUCUCUUAUGCUAUUUCCUAGCAGUUUUAUAGUUUUACAUUUUACCCUUAGGUCUGUGGUAAAUUGUGAGUUUAUUUUUUUGAAAAGUUCAAUUCUUAGGGUUUUUUGUUUUGCUUGUUUUUCAUAUGCAUGUUAAGUUGUUCUGAGUUGAUUUGUUGAAAUCAUGAUCUUAAAGCCUUUUAAUUGCCUCAUUCCUUUAUCAAAGGCAGUUGACUAUUUCUACCUAGGGUGUACCUGUGGACUUUCCAUUAGGUUCUAUCUACUUAUUUGUCUACUAUUUUAUCAACACCACACUCUCUCAGAAGCCUUAACUUUAUAGUAAUUCUUCAAAUUAGGUAAUAUGUGUCUUCCUCCUAUAUUUGUUCCUUUAAUAUGAAGUUGCUUUUGAGUAUUUUGCAUCUCUUUAUAAAAUUUAAAAUCAGGUUGUGAAUAUCAACAAUCUACUGAUUUUGAGAUUAUGAUUGAAUUAUGUUCAAUAUAUGAAUUGACAUUUGUAACUGGCAUCUUGACAAUAUUAAGUGAUCCUAUCCAUAAACAUUGAUUAUUUC